rnacentral:rRNA from 12 species
AGAAGACCCUGUUGAGCUUGACUCUAGUCUGUUCCUGUGGAACGACUUGUCGGU